rnacentral:rRNA from 1 species
GAUGAACGCUGGCGGCGUGCCUAAUACAUGCAAGUAGAACGCUGAAGGAGGAGCUUGCUCUUCUGGAUGAGUUGCGAACGGGUGAGUAACGCGUAGGUAACCUGCCUGGUAGCGGGGGAUAACUAUUGGAAACGAUAGCUAAUACCGCAUGACAACAGUUAUUGCAUGAUAACUGUUUAAAAGGGGCAACUGCUCCACUACCAGAUGGACCUGCGUUGUAUUAGCUAGUUGGUGAGGUAACGGCUCACCAAGGCGACGAUACAUAGCCGACCUGAGAGGGUGAUCGGCCACACUGGGACUGAGACACGGCCCAGACUCCUACGGGAGGCAGCAGUAGGGAAUCUUCGGCAAUGGACGGAAGUCUGACCGAGCAACGCCGCGUGAGUGAAGAAGGUUUUCGGAUCGUAAAGCUCUGUUGUAAGAGAAGAACGAGUGUGAGAGUGGAAAGUUCACACUGGGACGGGAUCUUACCAGAAAGGGACGGCUAACUACGU